CCAGAGAACUUAGCAGAGAUGCUUUGGUGCCUUCGGGGAACUCUGAGACAGGUGCUGCAUGGCUGUCGUCAGCUCGUGUUGUGAAAUGUUGGGUUAAGUCCCGCAACGAGCGCAACCCUUAUCCUUUGUUGCCAGCGGCUCGGCCGGGAACUCAAAGGAGACUGCCGGUGAUAAACCGGAGGAAGGUGGGGAUGACGUCAAGUCAUCAUGGCCCUUACGGCCAGGGCUACACACGUGCUACAAUGGCGCAUACAAAGAGAAGCGACCUCGCGAGAGCAAGCGGACCUCAUAAAGUGCGUCGUAGUCCGGAUUGGAGUCUGCAACUCGACUCCAUGAAGUCGGAAUCGCUAGUAAUCGUAGAUCAGAAUGCUACGGUGAAUACGUUCCCGGGCCUUGUACACACCGCCCGUCACACCAUGGGAGUGGGUUGACAAAAGAAGUAGGUAGCUUAACCUUCGGGAGGGCGCUUACCACUUUGUGAUUCAUGACUGGGGUGAAGUCGUAACAAGGUAAGCGUAGCGAG
rnacentral:rRNA from 1 species